AGGCAAUUAAUUCACUGACUCACAUCGAGAAAUGGAGCGGGAGGCUGCUUGUCAGCCAGGCCCCCAGGCAUCUAAUCAGCACAGAUUUAAAAGCCCCAUUUGACUUAAUGGGAAAGUGCUGAUGGUUUGUGCUGCUGGUCAUUAGCCGAGGAGGAGGAGAAGCCAGCAUGGCAGGCUGUUUCUGGGGGACUGCUUUCCCCUCCUGGUCAGCACCAACAGACCCUGCAGAUUGCCUAAAGAUUAGGUUUCCCAACAGGUUUGUCUGACCCGGGUCUUUAUGACCUGCUUUCAAUGCUUGGAGCUUGGAGCCAAGGGAAAUGAAGGAGAGACGAAUUCAGGACUCACUAUGCGCCAGAAACCAGAGGUAACUGAGGCUUGGAGAGGAAAGCUGUCACUUGCCCAUGUUCACUCCGAAUGCAUGACUGCGUGGGCUGGGGGAUGAGACCUUCUGAUGUCCAGUCUCGGCCACCAGAGGCAGGACCGUGAGAGGCCACAGCUUUGUCCACUCCUGUUAGCACAGACUUCUGGAGCCUGUUAUCCAGUUUGAAUUCUCGGCUUCACCACUUACUAACGACACCUGAUGGAAUUGUACUUCCUGGAUCUUUUUGGUUCAGUAGCGCUCUGUUCUGGCCAAUGGAUUGUGUCACUUCCAAGUUCAGCGUCUAACAUUCAUGUGAGACCCAGCAGAGUUGUAUUUUUUCAUUUGCCAUAGUAUUGAGCAGUGUAUCAAGUAGUGUAUCAUAGCAGUGGCUGCCCAUCAGCUGUGUCUGGGAGGGAGGGAGAUGCCACCACAGAGCAGAGUCCCCAGGUGUCUCCCACUGGACAUGCGGUGUGAACAAGAAAUAUCCCUAUUUUGCUUCAAUCCCCUGAGAUUUGGAGACUGCUUGUUACUGCAGCAUAAUCUCUGUCAUCCUGACUGACACACACCAUUCGGAAAAGCCUCCUGAGGAUGGGGUAAUCACGCAGGGCCUCAAUGAGACAGUCUCUGGUUCCAGUAACCAGGAAGAGCUGUGGGUGAAAGUUCCCUCUGAUUUGACACAUACACUUAACCCCUUCAACGUCAAUAAAUUCUGCUCAUAAACUUUUUUGUUGAGCAGUUUCCCAUAACAUAUCUAUCUACAAAAAUCUGUCAGUAAGCGAAGCAAUCCUCAUUCCUCAGUGACUUCAGACUCAUCAAACUUAACGGCGGAUCCCGGCAUUUAGAUUCCAUGUACAACGAGCUCCACCGUGUGGUGUUUAGAAUGAAUGACUAUAAAAGCAAGGUCACAUACCCAAUACCACCGCACACCCCUUGAGAGAGGGACUGUGCCUGAUAAAAGAAGUCACAUCCCGCUCGCUUGGGCAUCAAAUCAAAAACAAGACAGAAAAUGUUCCUGUCCUGUGAGCCAGGAAGCAGUAGAGAGGCUGGCUUGUUUAUUUCUUCAUUCAACUAAUAAUUAUCAGGCCCUACUACGUACCAGAUACCAUUCCAGGCUCUGGGGAUUUCACAGUGAACAGGACAGACAAAGUUCCUGCCUGAGCUGGAAAGACAGACGACAGAACAAGACAAAGUCAUAUAUGCUAUAGUGUCAGAUGUGAGA
rnacentral:lncRNA from 1 species